AAAAGCACUUUGGAAAGAGAGUGCAAGAGAUCGUGAAACCAAUAUAAAGGAAACGAACGGUGCUAACGGAUUAGGUUUACAUUCAUUUGUGGUGGGAACACUGCGAUGCACUUGUGAGCUGUGUGCGCUGAGAGCAUUGAUGCUGUCGUUGGAAGCCGGUGAGGAUGGACUCGUUUACGAGAUACCUGCGCCGUUGGAAAGCGGUUGGUGUUGGUGUUUGUAUGGUGUGGCGAUAGUGGUUGCGUGUGGGUAUGCGUUGGUUGUCGCUUCAGCACAUGUGUUGUGGUGGCUUUCGGUGUAUGCUUGUGCGUUAUUGCCCGUCGCACUUCUCGGUGUUUAGUUAGUAAACCGUUUGACCCGUCUUGAAACACGGACCAAGGAGUUUAAAGUAUACGCGAGUUAGAGAGUGGCAAACUCUACAGCACAAUGAAAGUAAGGAACUCAGUUUCUUCGGUGUGAUGACUAGCUUUGGCUGGUAGGCAACACCGCUCCAUGCCUGGGUUCUGAUCUGGUGUGGAAGUUGAGCGUAUGCUUUGAGACCCGAAAGAUGGUGAACUAUGCUCGAACAGGAUGAAGCCAGGGGAAACCCUGGUGGAAGUCCGAAGCGGUUCUGACGUGCAAAUCGAUCGUCUGAUUUGAGUAUAGGGGCGAAAGACUAAUCGAACUAUC
rnacentral:rRNA from 1 species